GGCGAACCGUGCAAACGUUUAUUCGGAAUCACUGGGCAUAAAGGGCGCGUAGGCGGCUCCAAAAGUCAGGGGUGAAAUCCGGCAGCUUAACUGUCGCAGUGCCUUUGAUACUGUGGAGCUAGAGGGAGGUAGGGGGUCUGUGGAACUUCCGGUGGAGCGGUGAAAUGCGUUGAUAUCGGAAGGAACGCCGGGUGGCGAAAGCGACGGACUGGAUCUCUUCUGACGCUGAGGCGCGAAAAGCCAGGGGGAGCAAACGGG
rnacentral:rRNA from 1 species